rnacentral:lncRNA from 1 species
UUCCUCGUGGUCCGAGUCCCUUCAGCCUAUAAUGUUAUAUUGGGAUGACCUAAACUAAAUGUGCUUCGAGCAAUUGUUUCAUUAUAUCAUUUGCUUGUACGCUUCUCGAUGAGGAAUGGGACUAGUGAAAUGAGAGGAGAUCACAGUUGGCCCAAUAAUGUUACUUGAUCGUAAUAAAGAAAAAAAGCCAACUGAAGCUCUUUCCAUCGACAGAUUGGAUUAGAGAGAAGAGGAAAGCCAGGG